AGAAAAUAAAAAAAAAUUAAAAAAAAUUCAUAUCCGGAUCGUACAACGACACCCUUGAUGCAAAACAUGUUUGCGCGCCUGACGAUGUUAAGACACACGACACACACUUCCCUUGAGAAAAGAUGAUAGCCUUCACGAGUGUCUUACUAUUUCUUUGCAGAGCCCCUCUUCUUGAUGACGACGCGUACACUGUCAGCUACACUUUGCAGUGUCUCACUUAAAUUUUUCUCUAUCUUUGUAUCUCUCCAUUUCAGAUAAAUUGUUAUCUUUCCAAGGGUUGAGGAGAACAUGGUCGUGGUUCAAGUGAAGCCACUACAGCCACUCCCUGACAAGCCUUCCACACCGACAGACAGUGGCAGCAGACACACAAGAGACGAUGGUGUGGUGGACAAGAGGAUGCAGGGAGACAGCAGACAGAAUGGAAGCUACAGAUGAAAGAAGAGCAGGUCAAGCCAUGGCAGCAGACACAUAGACAGACAGAUUGGAUAAGAAAGAAGUAUUAUUUAGUGAGACAGGACCACUGGAAGCUGUCAGAGUGCUGUGGCACGUGGCAAGAACCAAGUGUUCAGGAGCACACACUGUCCCUUCACCAGUCAGCAGGUCUGGGCGGCUUGGAAGCCUCACUACAAACUGAAGACCCGUUCACUUGAAGGACACAGUUGGAGUCGGACACAAGAUCCAAGAGGGAGUUAUUUUUAAACGAGAGCUUCAGGCAGAAAAUUCGAGUGGAUUUUCAACUCUAAAAAUAACUUUUUUGGGGGGAUAUUUUGAACCUUCUUUAUCUUGAAAAAUAACUCCAGAUAUUAUGACUCUAGCUGGAAGUUGACCUGAGCAAUGUAGGGUUUGCUGCAGUGAGAUUACCAAGGCACGAGUGUCUGGGAUUUAAAGAUGAUGGAUAUGUGUCCUGUGUGCUGCUGUGCUGGGAGGAGAGGAGCAGCAGCAGUCGUGGGGCUCUGUUGCUGCUGUCACUGGUGCAGCUGUUCACUCCUGCAGCUACCUUCCCUCAACAUACUGUGUCUUCCCUCACCUGCAAUGAACAACUAUGAACAAUACUUCUCCUGCGAUGAGGAACAGUGAAUAACACCUCUCUCUCUCUCUCUCUCUCUCUCUCUCUCUCUCUCUCUCUCUCUCUCUCUCUCUCUCUCUCUCUCUCUCUCUCUCUCU